UGUUUGCGUGAGGGAUAGCAGCGGUAUCCUUUUAUGAAGCGCAGCGUAAUAAAAGAUAAAGCGCAUAGCCCGACCCGAA
rnacentral:sRNA from 1 species